CCUUUCCCACCCCUACUUCCCUUGGAUGAUAAACCUGUGGCCCGCUGGAUCCUGAGGGUAGAGCUUCUUUGCCUGCCAGCUUGCAUCUCUCACAAGCGUCUUAUUCUGAUAAAUUCGUUUCUUGCUUAUUACUUUGUCUCUCGCUGAAUUCCUUCUGUGCGGAAGCAUAAAGAACCUGAGCUUUGGACUUUUGCAAAGCUGGAAUAAUCCAUACUCCUAGGGGAGAACAGGAUGAUCUACCCCCAACUCAGAAUGGCCAGCUCUUGGCUCCUUGGAAUUUUUACUAAACAGAGGACUCAGAUGAUCAAGUUACUGAAAAGAAUAACUUAAAAUAUAUGGUUCAGCCUCCAUUACUCGUACAUGAAGUCAAAGCAGAACUUGCUCUCACACCAGUAUAUUGGAUUUAUGGCUGCAUAAAGACUCCCGAGCUCUAUAGUUCCCUCUAUGGCCAUUAGAGUCACCGAGGAGAAAAAAAAUCUGCAGAAAACACAGCAUGAAUAAUGGCAGCAAGAGAAGUUCCUGGUUAUAGCUCACUCAUAUAUUUUUGAAAUGUAGGUCAGAUCUAGAGGAAGUGAAAGAAACUUCCUGUUGAAUUUUCUUUUAUAGAAUGUGUCUGGAAAUCUCGAAUGUAAUUUCUUGGUGUAAAAUAAACUGCAGA